CCUACGGGGGGCAGCAGUGAGGAAUAUUGGUCAAUGGAUGAGAGUCUGAACCAGCCAAGUAGCGUGAAGGAUGACUGCCCUAUGGGUUGUAAACUUCUUUUAUAUGGGAAUAAAAUGUUCCACGUGUGGGAUUUUGUAUGUACCAUAUGAAUAAGGAUCGGCUAACUCCGUGCCAGCAGCCGCGGUAAUACGGAGGAUCCGAGCGUUAUCCGGAUUUAUUGGGUUUAAAGGGAGCGUAGGUGGAUUGUUAAGUCAGUUGUGAAAGUUUGCGGCUCAACCGUAAAAUUGCAGUUGAAACUGGCAGUCUUGAGUACAGUAGAGGUGGGCGGAAUUCGUGGUGUAGCGGUGAAAUGCUUAGAUAUCACGAAGAACUCCGAUUGCGAAGGCAGUUCACUGGACUGCAACUGACACUGAGGCUCGAAAGUGUGGGUAUCAAACAGGAUUAGAUACCCUUGUAGUC
rnacentral:rRNA from 1 species